AAGCCACAGACACUCAGGGCUCUGGCCAGCGGCUGCCCCAGCACAGCCACAGAAAUGGGGACAGUGGAAGGCACCAUCCUGCCGGCCAGAGGGGGGCUCUGGGCCAAGAGAAGACCAGAGCCGACUUGGGGAUUAUUCAAAGCCCAAAGCAAACAGCAUUCUCAAGGAGAAGAGGUUGUUCAGACACUGCUGUGAGGCCCCAAGAAGUGAAACGAACCUGAGCCCUUGCCCAGCGUGGAUGGGCCUGAGCACGUCCUCUGCGGCCCUUUGACAAGCCACAGAGAUGGAGCUGCCCAGGUUCCCAGCUGGUGGUCAGUGACAAUGGUGGACUGCGGAGGUGAAGUUAACGACUUCACAGCUACAGAGUUUCCUUAGCAGAGCUGUGGAGUGUGACAAUGGUGUUUGUGUCCAAACUAUCAAACGCCAUUAUCACACUAAAUAGCUACUGCUAGGCAAUCCUUCUGCUCAGGAAAUGUCUUGGCAUCUGUUUGGUAGGGGCAACAAGGUUCAUCUGGUAGCAGUGCUCCCAAUCUUACGUGGUUACUGAAUGAAGUCUGGUACUUCCGUGCUCAGAACUUACAUGUUCCUCUGACCCCUGACUCACUCAUGCUGUUGUUACGUACUCGAGUGGUGUUUUGUUUCCUUGUUUUCUCAAGUCAAUAAGAAGUUUGCAGAGUCCCCCAGAGCACCCAGCGUAAUGCUUGGCACCUGGUAAUCGGUCAACAUAUGCUUAGAGAGUGGAAAUGAAUAGUUAACAAGGUGUUAGAUGCAAAAAAACUAAAACUGGGUUAAAUUUAGGUUAUGCAAACCACAGGCUUAUAGGUACAAAGGUAAGGUACGUAGGCCUUCUAUUAAACUUAGGUAGGACUUCACUGACCUUUCAGACAUUCUAAAACAUGUUUGCUUUCUGCUGAUUUCAAUCAAUUACCAGGCUGAUUACUGAAUGUGUAUGCCAGGUUCUUCUUUGUUAGGUCUGAAUGUAUUACCAUCAGAAAAUUAUUUAUGAACUAUAUGAGCUGCCAUAGCAAAUCUGAACAUUUUUUAAGCCCAUGUGAUUUCUGGGACAGCUGGUCUUGCUGGUGGUGUGCUUUGGAACACAUCCUCUUUCUAACGUGAGGAGCAGGUUCUAGGCUGUGCUGGCCUAGAACUUCUCUCUCAGGACUUGGCUAAAUGAACUAGUGCAUGUUUAAGCAAAUUGACAGGAUUUGGAUCAACCAUCAGAAAAAAGUUAAUUCAAUCAUUCCACUAUUCUCUUACCAAAUAAGUACGUAUAGUGUGGCUGCCGUGUGGCUGCCAUGUGUCUGGCACUGUCCUCGGCACUGGAGAGGCUUUUAAAUGAAGUCUGAUGUUAUUUCCAGAGAGGGGCUUUCACUGGCUCACAUUCUGUUGUGGGACCAUGAUAAUGGUUCCAAUUACAUUUAUUAAGGAAAAAAAUGAAUAGAACUUUGCAAAAUAAUUCCAAGUCCUUUGCUGGAAAAGCACCACUUGAGUGCAGCCCACAUAUCUAUGAAGCCCACAAAAGCUUCAAGGUCAUGGCUUCAAGCUUCAAAGAAGAGGAAGUGAAUUCCUUCUUGCCUUGUGUCUCCUCCCACCUCCCGUUCCUUCUGUCCUGGCAUCAUCCACUGUCAAGAGGAAAACCAGAUGCCCCUGAAAUAAUAAAUACACUGAUACUCUU